rnacentral:tRNA from 1 species
GGUAGCGUGGCCGAGUGGUCUAAGGCGCUGGAUUUAGGCUCCAGUCUCUCUGGUGGCGUGGGUUCAAAUCCCACUGCUGACA